GAUGAACGCUGGCGGCGUGCCUAAUACAUGCAAGUCGAGCAAACAGACGAGGAGCUUGCUCCUCUGACGUUAGCGGCGGACGGGUGAGUAACACGUGGAUAACCUACCUAUAAGACUGGGAUAACUUCGGGAAACCGGAGCUAAUACCGGAUAAUAUAUUGAACCGCAUGGUUCAAUAGUGAAAGACGGUUUUGCUGUCACUUAUAGAUGGAUCCGCGCCGCAUUAGCUAGUCGGUAAGGUAACGGCUUACCAAGGCAACGAUGCGUAGCCGACCUGAGAGGGUGAUCGGCCACACUGGAACUGAGACACGGUCCAGACUCCUACGGGAGGCAGCAGUAGGGAAUCUUCCGCAAUGGGCGAAAGCCUGACGGAGCAACGCCGCGUGAGUGAUGAAGGUCUUCGGAUCGUAAAACUCUGUUAUUAGGGAAGAACAAAUGUGUAAGUAACUAUGCACGUCUUGACGGUACCUAAUCAGAAAGCCACGGCUAACUACGUG
rnacentral:rRNA from 1 species